rnacentral:sRNA from 1 species
ACGCUAUGCAUAAUCGGCAGCGAGCGCCUC